GUAACAAAGAGAGCGUUGGCAGGCAGAGAGAGAGAGAGCCGACGAGAGAAUGAAGGGCAUCCGGCGAAUAUCCGGUGAGUACUCCGGCGCGUGAGUGGUACCAAUCUAAGACUUAGAUCAUGGCAGUGAUCUCGAUUGUCCGAUCGUGCAUCGGUGAUGGUUAUGGCAGGACGAUAGACGGCGGCGAGCUUAUUGGCCGGAAAAGGGAACGACGGUGACAGAGCCUCACUUCUCUUGCUCUCUCUGGAUAACAAAAACGGGUUCUAAUAAGCGGUUUGUCAAGUGUUUACUGUUGUAUAGGGGCAACAAUGACCGGCAGCAGCGGAACAACAAAGGUUUGAAAAUGUUGGAAGGAAGGCAAAUCACCAAAUAAAUUAAAAGCCUUGCACUACUGACAAGAGAAAAUUGCUGGAAGCUUGAAGUUGAAGCUGGUAAGGUUGAAUUGACUAGCGCUCAUUGGAUUGAAGAAACAAGAAAAAUCACAAAGUCCAAUAGAAGAUGGACAUGUUAGUAUUUAUUGUCACUUUGUUUUUUUAUUCUAAUGCAACUAAGCUAUAUCAUUUGAAUCUAAGUGAAUGGAAUAGAUUGUUACAUUUAAUGCUUAAGGGUUUGUUCAUCCUUUUCAUCUACACUUCUUUUUAGAUUUUGUAUAUAGUCGAUUG
rnacentral:lncRNA from 1 species